GACGAACGCUGGCGGCGUGCCUAAUACAUGCAAGUAGAACGCUGAAGGAGGAGCUUGCUCUUCUGGAUGAGUUGCGCACGGGUGAGUAACGCGUAGGUAACCUGCCUGGUAGCGGGGGAUAACUAUUGGAAACGAUAGCUAAUACCGCAUAACAGUAGUUGUUGCAUGACAUUUGCUUAAAAGGUGCAAUUGUACCACUACCAGAUGGACCUUCGUUGUCUUAGCUAGUUGGUGGGGUGACGGCUGAACAAGGGGACGAUACAGAGCCGACCCGAGAGGGUGAACGGCCACACUGGGACUGAGACCACGCCCAGAAUCCUAAGGGAGGCAGCAGUAAGGGACCUUCGGGCAAUGACGGAAGGCCGAACGAGCAAAGCCGCGGGAGUGAAGAAAGGUUUCCGAUCGUAAAGCUCUGUUGAUAGAGAAGAACCAGUUGGAGAAUGGAAAGUGCACGCUGUGACGGUACCUUACCAGAAAGCGACGGCUAACUACGUG
rnacentral:rRNA from 1 species